AUUGUGUUCACCUAUUGAAAAUUAAAAAUACAUUUUGUUUAUGUAAAAGAUCAAUAGAACUUAAAGAUAAUCACUGUGAGCAACUUAGAGUAAAAAUUCAAAAAAUGAAAAAUAAGGCUAGUGUACUACAAAAGAGACUACCUGAAAAAGAAGAAAUAAAAUCGCAGUUAGAGCAUGAAACACUUGAAUUGGAAAAAGAACUCC
rnacentral:sRNA from 1 species